rnacentral:rRNA from 1 species
CCUACGGGUGGCAGCAGUGAGGAAUAUUGGUCAAUGGCCGGAAGGCUGAACCAGCCAUGCCGCGUGAAGGUCAGUGCCCUAUGGGCGUUAAACUUCUUUUGUGCGGGAGCAAUAAUGGUCACGUGUGGCCAGACGAGAGUUCCGUACGAAUAAGCAUCGGCUAACUCCGUGCCAGCAGCCGCGGUUAUACGGGGGAUGCAAGCGUUAUCCGGAUUUAUUGGGUUUAAAGGGUGCGUAGGCUGUGAGGUAAGUCAGCGGUGAAAUGCCCCCGCUCAACGGGGUGAAGUGCCAUUGAUACUGCCUGGCUGGAGUGGGAGUGAAGUAGGAGGAAUGUGUGGUGUAGCGGUGAAAUGCAUAGAUAUCACGCAGAACACCGAUUGCGAAGGCAGCUCACGGAUCCGCGAUUGACGCUGAUGCACGAAAGCGUGGGUAUCGAACAGGAUUAGAUACCCGGGUAGUC